GACAGAGGGUGCAAACGUUGUUCGGAAUUACUGGGCGUAAAGCGCGUGUAGGCUGCUCCGAAAGUCGGAUGUGAAAGCCCUGGGCUCAACCUAGGAAGUGCAUUCGAAACUUCGGAGCUGGAGUUCUGGAGAGGAAGGCGGAAUUCUCGGUGUAGAGGUGAAAUUCGUAGAUAUCGGGAGGAACACCAGUGGCGAAGGCGGCUCUCUGGACAGGUACUGACGCUGAGACGCGAAAGCGUGGGUAGCAAACAGG
rnacentral:rRNA from 1 species